UAACUCUGGUGUCUCCUCAUUUGCGGAUAAAUCUUUCGCCUUUUACUAAAGAUUUCCGUGGGGAGGCACAAUACAAUGAGUCUUAUCUCAUACCUUAUAUCAGCACAAAGA
rnacentral:snRNA from 1 species